GAGUUUGAUCUUGGCUCAGAACGAACGCUGGCGGCAUGCCUAACACAUGCAAGUCGAACGGGAUCCAUCCUUCGGGAUGGUGAGAGUGGCGGACGGGUGAGUAACGCGUGGGAACCUGCCCAGUGGUGGGGGAUAACUGCGGGAAACUGCAGCUAAUACCGCAUGAGCCCGAGAGGGGAAAGAUUUAUCGCCAUUGGAGGGGCCCGCGUUCGAUUAGGUAGUUGGUGGGGUAAUGGCCUACCAAGCCGACGAUCGAUAGCUGGUCUGAGAGGAUGAUCAGCCACACUGGGACUGAGAUACGGCCCAGACUCCUACGGGAGGCAGCAGUGGGGAAUAUUGGACAAUGGGGGCAACCCUGAUCCAGCAAUGCCGCGUGAGUGAUGAAGGCCUUAGGGUUGUAAAGCUCUUUUGCCAGGGACGAUGAUGACGGUACCUGGAGAAUAAGCCCCGGCUAACUUCGUGCCAGCCGCCGCAGUAAC
rnacentral:rRNA from 1 species